rnacentral:rRNA from 1 species
CUCAAUUUUUCUGGAUGUUGUAAGCAGGGUUGGCGUAGGUGAACCUGUCAGAUGGCAUACAUUGACGCGCAUACGAUCUGCAUAGGUGGGAAUAACCUUGACUGUUACUUUGAUCAAUGUGAAUUCCAUGUAAGGGUAAGGUGGAGUUCUACUGUGUUUGUCAUUUAAUAUGACUUGCCCCGAAUGUAAACUAUUGUUUACAAAUGUGGUUUGGGCUUUAUGAAAAUUGUGUUCUUGAGCUGGGCAAGAACUAUCAUUUACUUGUUAUUGGUGGCUAAAACAAGAAAUGAACGUCAGUGUACAGUGAAUCACUCGGCUCGCAAAUCGAGGAAGAACGUGGCCAUAUGUGAUAAAUUCUGUGAACUGCAGGACACACAGGAACAGAUAGUCUUUGAACGCAAAUGACAGCUGUGAGGUCAAACUCAUAGCUACAUCCGUCUGAGGUCAAUAGCCAUAGUUAUAUAUGAACAGUGUUAAAGAUUUCAGAUCCGAGUAACGCUGUCAUCGAUAAGUGCAUGAUAAAGUGGGCGAUCAGUGUACGAGAAUAUUGUGAUGAAUUGCUUGCUAAUAUGCACUACAUUUUGAAACAUUGACGAUAACUUUACGUUGCUGGGAAUUGAUAAAGGGUAAAUCUAUCGUCGAAAUUGCAUCAAUGCUGUGGCCUGAGAUCUGGGUGAGAUAACCCGCUGAUUUAAAGCAUAA